rnacentral:rRNA from 1 species
CCUACGGAAGGCAGCAGUAAGGAAUAUUGGACAAUGGUCGCAAGACUGAUCCAGCCAUGCCGCGUGAAGGAUGAAGGCCCUAUGGGUUGUAAACUUCUUUUGUAUGGGAAAAAACCCUUCUACGUGUAGAAGGCUGAUUGUACCAUAAGAAUAAGGAUCGGCUAACUCCGUGCCAGCAGCCGCGGUAAUACGGAGGAUCCAAGCGUUAUCCGGAUUCAUUGGGUUUAAAGGGUGCGUAGGCGGAAUGAUAAGUCAGUGGUGAAAUCCUGCAGCUUAACUGCAGAACUGCCAUUGAUACUGUCAAUCUUGGGUACAUUUGAUGUGGGCGGAAUGUGUCAUGUAGCGGUGAAAUGCUUAGAUAUGACACAGAACACCGAUUGCGAAGGCAGCUCACAAAACUGUAACUGACGCUGAGGCACGAAAGCGUGGGUAUCAAACAGGAUUAGAUACCCUGGUAGUCCACGCUGUAAACUAUGAUUACUCGAUGUUUGCGAUACACUGUAAGCGUCUAAGCGAAAGCGAUAAGUAAUCCACCUGGGGAGUACGCUCGCAAGAGUGAAACUCAAAUUGAAUUGACGG